AUCUUCUUCGUCGAGAUAGUCGUCGUCCUCUUCCAAGUAUUCAGGUUCGCUUUGCUGAAAACGAGAUGGAGUUUGGCCGUUUAGAGUCAAACAAAUGGAUUGGAUCCUUGGGAUAGCAGCAGGAGCUAUCUUCUUUUGUGCAUUAGUAACGGUAUCAGUAAAGGUAACGGUAACGCGCUACUUUUUCUAAAUAACGGAAACGGUAAUAAUAAAAAAAAAACCCGCCUACCAGCCAUCCUUUGGACGUCUUCAACAUGACGGCCUGAUUGCUGUUCAUAGUGGACUCGAGAAAUUUCCCGGCCCUUAGAUCCCAAAACAAAAGGAUCCCGAUCCCGGUGCCAAUGGUCAGAAUAUUGCCUUUGAAGCUGACCGAGCGAAUCCCGCAGCCGUUAUUGCGGGAAGGAAUCAUCUUGAUGGCUUGGAGCGACCUCGCAUCCAACAGAUCCGUGUUGGCCUUCGAGCCCACGGCGUACAUCUGAGCGUCCUCGUCCGUGGCCAAGCACACGUUCUCCAUGGUAUGGGGCAGCUUCUUGGUCAUUAUCUAAUGAAUAAUCGCCGGGACAUUGAAGCUUUCAAGUGUGGAUGGGAGGCUUGAGACGUCCUACGUAUUUACAAGAAAGAGCUCCUCUACGUAUUUACUGACCUGUUUAAACCGUAAAGCGUUCCAACAAUGAAUGUAUCCAUUCAAUGAGAUGACGGCAAUCUCUUGCGUUCGAUGGUUAUAACAGAGGGAUCGCACUCGGUCGGCCUCUUUGCAGACCUUAGUUUUAACGGGUCGGAUGAAUUUGUAGGUAGGGAUGGGGGCAGAGGUGACCUCUUCAAUGAGAUUGUCGGUCACGCGCCAAAACGAGAUCGUGCCAUCACGGGAGCCGGAUACCACAAAUUGAUCGUCAAUCCACGUCAUGUCAAAGAUCCAAUCUUUGUGGCCUCUCUAAGUGAAGUGCAAAGAAGUUUACGAAUGUUCGGUAUUUCUACUAACAAAUCAGUCAUUGUUUUAUUUUUUACCUCGGAUGGACGAAUUUAGAAUUAGUAGAAAUAAAUGAAUUCAUUUCUUUCUUUGAA